rnacentral:rRNA from 1 species
UACGAAGGGGGCUAGCGUUGUUCGGAAUUACUGGGCGUAAAGCGCGUGUAGGCGGGUCUUUAAGUCAGGGGUGAAAUGCCAGGGCUCAACCUUGGAACUGCCUUUGAUACUGGAGACCUUGAGUCCGGGAGAGGUGAGUGGAAUUGCGAGUGUAGAGGUGAAAUUCGUAGAUAUUCGCAAGAACACCAGUGGCGAAGGCGGCUCACUGGCCCGGAACUGACGCUGAGGCGCGAAAGCGUGGGGAGCAAACAGG